UUCAAUAACGUUUUAUGGACUUGAGUGCCAAAAAAUGUUUUUGUUUCACUGAAAAACAUUAUAACUUGGCGUAUAUGAUGUAUAUGAUGCUGCAGCCACUGUCAACAAAGGUAAUAUUACAAAAUAGUUUAAAAAAACUAGGUAUACCUGCGGGGAAGGAAUGUGCUGAAAUACUAUGAAACAUGGACAUACAAAGAAUUACUGAAGACUGAAAAACAAAUUUUAGAACUGCAAAAUAAGGAUCGUCAUUCAAAAGCAUCCGCUUAAAAGAAGCUGGAGGGAUAAGAUCCUGACAAUCCAUUCUAUGCAUCUGAACACUAUUAGAGCUUACCAAUAGGGUGGAUGGUCCUAGAGAAAUAUUGAUACAAAGGUGAGAGUUCACGAGGCUAAGAACUGGACAAUAUGGAAUCUAUAAGUGCUGACAGUAUCCUUAUGACAGACUAAUAAACUAAAUGGUCCAAAGAGUUGCAAGCUCAGUAAGGACUUUCCAACCCUAAUUACUGGAGGGUGAUUGGGAGAUUUCAGAGGCUGAGAUCUCCUAGACAUCAUGGCUUCUUUAUAUUGAUUGUACUCACAUCUCUGAUACUAAAUAAUAAACCUGGUGGUCCAGGAAUUGCAAGCUUA